UUUUCCUCGCGGAAGUGUAGCUGUUCCUCACUUCUUCCUCAUCACUCCGUCCUUUCUCUCUUCUUUGUUUUGAUUGUGAAGGACGGGGAAAAGAAGAUAGAAUCCAAAUUAUCGGGUUCCCUUUAGUUUUACUGGUCUGCGCUCUCAUCGGAACCACUACUUGAAAGGGCGGAAUAAAUUCCUUGGGAAACACAUGAAGAUAAUUCUAUCUUUCUGCUAGCUACUGCUGGGCUAAGAAGAUUGCCGAGUCAUGAUGCAGCUUGGAUUUUCGAAAAUGCAGAAGCUCCUGUUUAUGCGUAGGAUAACUUCUAUAAGGAUACUAACUGGACAGGAAGAGGCUUAUUAUAGUUGAAUCGCUCUUAACUACAAAAUGUGGACGCUGAACAAUUAUUCCAGUUUACCCACUUUAGGAGUUCUAGAUUUAGGGGUUUCGUCGUUGCAGGUUGUAAUGGAAAUCAAAGAACUGACGGAUGAUCGAAAUUCACUGCAGCUAAAAUUUGGUUCAGAUCAGCACCAAAUUUUAGCAUAUUCACUGCCCAGAUUUGGUCUACACGAGGCAUUUGGAAGGACAGUUAUCAUGCUUAUUCACUCAGAGAGAGUGUUUAUAACAGACUUCAAUUCAGACAUUCUUGUCUCAGUUUGGGAUUUGUUCCCAACCACUCUUGCGAUGGCUGUUACCUACAACAUCCCCACUUCAAACAAUAUUACUGGUCAUUACUGGUCUAUUUCAGAAAAAUCGGUCCACCUUGUUUUCUCUGAUAGGGGAUCCAAAUUGGAAGCCAUGUAAGAGAAUUGCUUAGGCUGCCGCAACCCAUUCGAACAACUUUGAUUGGUCACGAUUAACUGAGGGUAAGAACUGCAAAGGACGAUCAUCUUCCUUUAAGAGCACAUACUCAAAUUUGAUGUCCGUCCCUCAUCCAGUUUCAUGGUUUCAUGCCUUACCUGGACUUUUUGCCGUUUACAGUAUGCUAGAAUUGAAUCCAAGAGCUAAUUUGACUAAAAUUUGGAAGAAAGGCGAGAAAAAAUGUUCUGGGUCGUGGAUUGACUCAAAGAAAAUUUCUGGAAACAGAAAAUAUGUUAAUCAAUUCUGUUUUCGAGUUCCAUAUUUGGCAUCUCUCCUUGAGGAUACAUUAUGCUUGGGGGAUGCAGAAAUUAACUUCGGUCCUGGAGAUGUUUCUUGGACGUUAGGAGCUGCACUGGUUGAAGGAGAGCACAAAUGGCUGAGUAAUAAAGAACCUCAGACUGGUAGUUAUAACCUAAAGCUUACGGAGUAUGAGGUUAAUGCAUAGGGCUAUGGAGAAUUCGGGAAAACUAUCAUCUUUUGGGUAGAGGAAUCAAAUGUUAAGUUCUGGAAAGAUACAGAGAUGAAGACACAAUCUUCUUAAGCUGUCUAUCAGUUUAUAUACAAGAAUCCAGAGCUUGAUGAGAUGGCUCUAUGGGUUUCUGAAUGGUGAAUCUGAGGAUCCAACGGUGCGUAUUUAUUCAAGUUUCACUGUCUUUUGUGACCUUAGCAUGGAUGCAAAACAGAGGUUUAGGGGAGCUUAAUAUUCAAAGGUUUUGCUCAUUUGCCGUAGUGAUCUUUGUCAAUGACUACUUCGUACCGAACGAACUUGAAUAAUAAAUGAUUUUUGUCAGUGUCUACUUGGUAUUCAAUUUGGUUAUUAUGAACGAAGCAUAAAAGAAUUGAGUUGGUGAAGUUUUGACAUUGAGGAUCCAAUUAUGUCCAAGGACUGUGGACAGAUUUCUUGUAACAAGUGAGCAAACAAGGAGGAUAUCUGAGGUCGGUGGUUAAGUGUCUAACCCGUUUGCUCAUGGUUGGGAUCCAAUAUCGAUUGAUGGUUCCUGGUUAGUAUUAGAAGAAUGCUGACGAAGGGAUUGAAGUAAAACAAGGUAGUUGGUCAGUAGCUUCCUGACGCCAGUUGUUAUGGCUGACCUUUUACAUUGGAAUUGCUUACAAUUUUUACGUGGUUUAAAUUAGGGGUGUAAAUAAUACCCGAAAAUACUCGGCCUGACUGUACCCGUUUGACCCCGCCUGUACCCGAAGUAGCUCAAAGCCUGUUAUGGCCCGUCAUGGGCCACCCGGCCUG